rnacentral:rRNA from 2 species
GCAGCCGCGGUAAUUCCAGCUCCAAUAGCGUAUAUUAAAGUUGUUGCAGUUAAAAGCUCGUAGUUGAAUUUCGGGAUCAAUAUAUCGGUCGUGCCAUCGGUACGUACUGGUAUCAUUGGUUUCUCCUUUCUGACGAACCAUGAUGUCAUUAAUUUGGUGUUAUGGGAAGUUAGGACUGUUACUUUGAAAAAAUUAGAGUGUUUAAAGCAGGCAUUAGCUUGAAUACAUUAGCAUGGAAUAAUGGAAUAGGACGUUCGAACCUAUUUUGUUGGUUUCUAGGAUCAACGUAAUGAUUAAUAGGGACAGUCGGGGGCAUCAGUAUUCAAUUGUCAGAGGUGAAAUUCUUGGACUUAUUGAAGACUAACUACUGCGAAAGCAUUUGCCAAGGAUGUUUUCAUUAAUCAGGAACGAAAGUUAGGGGAUCGAAGACGAUCAGAUACCGUCGCAGUCUUAACCAUAAACUAUGCCGACUAGGGAUUGGACGGUGUUAUUUUUUGACCCGUUCGGCGCCUUACGGGAAAC